GUUUAGAGGUUAGACAUGUUUAGAGGUUAGACGUGUUUAGAGGUUAGACGUGUUUAAAGGUUAGACGUGUUUAGAGGUUAGACGUGUUUAGAGGUUAGACGUGUUUAAAGGUUAGACGUGUUUAAAGGUUAGACGUGUUUAAAGGUUAGAC